UAAUACGUAGGGUGCGAGCGUUGCCCGGAUUUAUUGGGCGUAAAGGGCGCGUAGGCGGCCCGGCGCGUCAUGCGUGAAAUCUCCCGGCUCAACUGGGAGGGGUCGUGUGAUACGGUCGGGCUGGAGCAAGGUAGGGGGCAGUGGAAUUCCCGGUGUAGUGGUGGAAUGCGUAGAUAUCGGGAGGAACACCAGUGGCGAAGGCGGCUGCCUGGACCUGUGCUGACGCUGAGGCGCGAAAGCGUGGGGAGCGAUCCGGAUUAGAUACCCGGGUAGUCCACGCCGUAAACGAUGAGAACUAGGUGUCGGGGGUAUCGACCCCCUCGGUGCCGGAGCUAACGCAUUAAGUUCUCCGCCUGGGGACUACGGCCGCAAGGCUA
rnacentral:rRNA from 1 species